AUUGCUUAGAUUAGAGACUUUGUGUUUCUCCCGUGUGCAUGGACUGCCAGUAAAGCACAGCAAAGCACAACUUGAUUCGUUGCCAAAGGAAGAACAAGACCCAGGACAGCACGAGUUGCCCAUGGGAGCAGGACCCACGUACAGCACUGGUGCAGCAACUUGGGAAUUGCUGUAAAAGAGCUAAGAAAGCGAUUCACAAAUGAGACAGCUUGGAAGAGAUGCAAAAGCUGCAAGGAACUGAGACAGGCUUUGGGGCAAGAACAGCAAGAGCCAUGAUGGGAUUGAGCUCUUGUCAGUCUUCUGUGCUGGUGAAUCUUAAAAAUUAAGGGAAAAAACAGAGUAAGAUCUCACGCCAAGGUCUCAAAUGCUGUGAGAAAAGGGAUAUGCUUGGGAUGGGAGAAACACUGAAGUUGCUUUGCAUGUUUGUUUUUCAUUUCUAACUCCUAUAUUUACUGUUAAUGAUAGAGGAUGGAGCCUUAUACUGCAGUUAAAGUGAUUCUAUAACUUUGGAGCCACUACCUGUGAAGCUGCCCCACAUAAAAAUAAAAUGCCAUACACAGAAUUCUUGCUUAAUAACUUGUCAUGUUG